rnacentral:rRNA from 1 species
ACUUAAAUUGAAGAGUUUGAUCAUGGCUCAGAUUGAACGCUGGCGGCAGGCCUAACACAUGCAAGUCGAGCGGCAGCGGAAAGUAGCUUGCUACUUUGCCGGCGAGCGGCGGACGGGUGAGUAAUGUC